UUUCUUCUUGCCUCCCUGACCAUACUAUUUCUGUUUUCAUACAAAAUGCAAAUGAACCACAAAUGUAAGUAAACCACUGUCUAGCCACAGAAUUGAUGAGGGAUGUGAACUUGAUGCACCUCAGACAAAGGCACAGGAGGCCAAGAAGAGCAGUUUUAUCCAGUAGGUAGUGUGCGUAUUGGAGGACACCUUAGAGAAGAGGGUGGGAUUGACCUGGACCUGAUAGUGGAGCUGUAAAGAGAGGGUGGGGAAUAUAGUCACAGAACUGGUAUUGAAAACAAACACAAGCACUUGCACACGAGGGAUAUACUCGUUGACUAAAGAGCUUUCUAGUGUCACUAGAUGCCAGGGGAAUUGUUAUGUUUCUAUAUACGCAAGGAAAAUUGGGCUCAUUUUGAAAGCUUCUGAAUUAGUUACUUUUCUUUUGCUAUGAUAAAACACUAUGAAAAAGGCAACUUAUAGAAAAACAAGUUUAUUUUGGACAUAUGGUUCCAGGUGCUUAGCAUCCAUAAUGGCAGGGACAGCAGGUGACAGAAAUGGCAGCUGGACCACAGCUGAGAACUCAUAUCUCCUACUGGUAGCAGGAAGCAAAGAGAGUGCACUGGAAGUUGCUUGUGGCUUCUGAAACCUCAAAGCCUGCCCCUAGUGUCAGGCUUUCUCCAACCAGGCCACAUUUCCUAAAUUUACUCAAAUAGGACCACCAAGUGGGGAACAAGUAUUCAAAUACUCAAGAAUAUUGGGGGAGGGGACAUGUCAUUCAAACUUCUACAAGAUCUGUCACAGUUCUUCAGUGAAGGAGAUUGUAGAUGGAUCGAUAAGGGCUAUCUUAGUGUUACUAUACUGUGAAGAGAAGUUAUGACCAUGAAAACUCUCAUAAAAGAAAGCAUGUAAUUGAGGCUCGCUUACAGGUUCAGAGGUUUACUCUAUUGUAAUCAUGGUGGGAAACAUAGCAACAUGCAGGCAGACAUGGGGUUAGAGAGGUAGCUGAGAAUUCUACAUCUGGAUCCUCAGGCAGCAGAAAGGAAGAGACCCUGGACUUGAGCUUCAAAAACCCCAAAGCCUACCCCCAGCGACAUACUUCAUCCCACAAGGCCACACCUUCCUCAAUAAGGCUCAAGACUCCCUAAUAGUGCCAGUCCCUAACGUCCAAGCAUCCCAAUACCUAAGCCUAUGGGGGUCAUUCCUAGUCAGACCACCACAAUGUCUACAUUUGGUAUCAGAUUAGAAAACAGCAGAGGUGGUUCUGUGGUCACAUGAUGUCUUCUUGCAUACUUUUUUUUCCAUGCAGGAAGAAUUUUCAUUUGUUGAAGAAAAAUUCAAAAUUAUUGAGAGAGCUAAAGAAUCUGGACUCGCGCCAGUGGUAUGUGAAAUAUCAUUUCUUGUCUAACUUUGUGAGAACAUGGUAUCAAAUACACUUUCAGGAAAGG
rnacentral:lncRNA from 1 species